UCCCUGGUGGUCCAGUGGUUAGGACUCUGUGCUCCCAAUGCAGGGACCCUGGGUUUGAUCCCUGGGCAGGCAA
rnacentral:tRNA from 1 species